CCUACGGGAGGCAGCAGUCGAGAAUCAUUCACAAUGGGGGAAACCCUGAUGGUGCGACGCCGCGUGGGGGAAUGAAGGUCUUCGGAUUGUAAACCCCUGUCAUGUGGGAGCAAAUUAAAAAGAUAGUACCACAAGAGGAAGAGACGGCUAACUCUGUGCACGCAGCCGCGGUAAUACAGAGGUCUCAGGGGUUGUUCGGAAUCACUGGGCGUAAAGCGGGCGUAGGCUGGUUCGUAAAGCGUGUGGGAAAUGGGCGGGCUCAAACCGCAGACGGCACAGGAUACUGCGAAACUAGAGUAAUGAAGGGGGAAGUGGAAUUCUCGGUGUAGCAGUGAAAUGCGUAGAUAUAGAGAGGAACACUCGUGGCGAAGGCGGGUUUCUGGACAUUAACUGACGCUGAGGCACGAAGGCCAGGGGAGCGAAAGGGAUUAGAUACCCUUGUAGUC
rnacentral:rRNA from 1 species